rnacentral:rRNA from 1 species
AAGCGGUGGAUUAUGUGGAUUAAUUCGAUGCAACGCGAAAACCUUACCUACCUUGACAUGUCCUGAAGCCUGGAGAGAUCCGGGUGUGCCCGAAAGGAACGGGAACGACAGGUGCUGCAUGGCUGUCGUCAGCUCGUGUCGUGAGAUGUUGGGUUAAGUCCCGCAACGAGCGCAACCCUUGUCAUUAGUUGCUACAUUUGGUUGGGCACUCUAAUGAGACUGCCGGUGACAAACCGGAGGAAGGUGGGGAUGACGUCAAGUCCUCAUGGCCCUUAUGGGUAGGGCUUCACACGUAAUACAAUGGCGCGUACAGAGGGUUGCCAAGCCGCGAGGUGGAGCCAAUCCCAGAAAGCGCGUCGUAGUCCGGAUUGCAGUCUGCAACUCGACUGCAUGAAGUCGGAAUCGCUAGUAAUCGCGGAUCAGCAUGUCGCGGUGAAUACGUUCCCGGGUCUU